rnacentral:rRNA from 1 species
GACGAACGCUGGCGGCGUGCCUAAUACAUGCAAGUCGAGCGAAGUUUUUCUGGUGCUUGCACUAGAAAAACUUAGCGGCGAACGGGUGAGUAACACGUAAAGAACCUGCCUCAUAGACUGGGACAACUAUUGGAAACGAUAGCUAAUACCGGAUAACAGUAUUUCUCGCAUGAGAGAUAUUUAAAAGUUGGUUAUGCUAACACUAUGAGAUGGCUUUGCGGUGCAUUAGCUAGUUGGUGGGGUAAAGGCCCACCAAGGCGACGAUGCAUAGCCGACCUGAGAGGGUGAUCGGCCGCACUGGGACUGAGACACGGCCCAGACUCCUACGGGAGGCAGCAGUAGGGAAUCUUCCGCAAUGGGCGAAAGCCUGACGGAGCAACGCCGCGUGAGUGAAGAAGGAUUUCGGUUCGUAAAGCUCUGUUGUUAGGGAAGAAUGGAUAUGUAGUAACUAUACAUGUAAGAGACGGUACCUAACCAGAAAGCCACGGCUAACUACGUG